UGAAGAGAAGACAGUGAAUGCAAUCUUUCUGGAUUUUAAUAAGAUGUUUGAUACCUUCUCUCACAGCAUCCUUCUGGAGAAACUGCUCAACUAUGAGCCAGCAGUGUGUCCUGACAGCCAAAAGGACAAACCACAUUUUGGGGUGUGUUAGACACAGCACAGCCAGCUGCUCAAAAGAGGCAAUUCUUCAGCUAUAUUUAGUGCUGGUGCAACCACCUCUUAAAUACCAUGUGCAGUUCUGUGCUCCACAAUAUAGAGGGAAAGUUAAAAUACUUGAAUGGAUGCAAAAGAGGGUAUCAAAGCUGGUAAAAGUGCUAGAAGAUGUGUCCUGGGAGGAAAAGCUGAGGAUGUUCUGGCUGACUGGUAUAGAUGAAAGGAGGACAAGCCGUUAGGAGGAUGACAGCAACGACGGAUGUUAAUGAAGACCUUCCUGCAGAAGAAAAGAGAAAGAACGUGGGGAGAGGGGUGCCCUCCAGCUGAGGAGGGGACCCCGUGCGUGCGGGUGAGAUGGGGCUUAGCCCUGAAGUUUUCUAGGGUUCCCCUUGC
rnacentral:lncRNA from 1 species